rnacentral:rRNA from 1 species
UACGGGGGGGGCAAGCGUUGUUCGGAAUUACUGGGCGUAAAGCGUGCGCAGGCGGCUUCGCAAGUCAGACGUGAAAUCCCCGGGCUUAACCUGGGAAUGGCGUUUGAAACUACGGAGCUGGAGUGUGGCAGAGGGAGGUAGAAUUCCACGUGUAGCGGUGAAAUGCGUAGAUAUGUGGAGGAAUACCGAUGGCGAAGGCAGCCUCCUGGGCCAACACUGACGCUCAUGCACGAAAGCGUGGGGAGCAAACAGG